CAGAGACAUUCAGAGAGGUCACAGUCCUUUCUAGCUCAUUUUCUGCAAUGCAUGUUAAUGUUACGUUUUCCUCAGGAGCAAUUAUAAUUUUACUGGAAAAUUUUCCAUUAACAUAUUUGGUCUCCUUUGCCUUAUUUAUGAGGCUUCCACUACCAGUAACUGUCCAUUGCACUGCUGGUUUGGGAAAUCCUUCCACAUGACAGACAAUUGUUUUAGACAUUUUAUUUGUGUUGGUUUUCUUUGUCAUUUUGAUUUGAGGUUUUCC
rnacentral:lncRNA from 1 species